UAAUUGCCACAACGGCUUCCUGACGUGGCAGAGCAGUAGAAUAUUGGAGCA
rfam:Thalassobium sp. R2A62 genomic scaffold scf_1112329232034, whole genome shotgun sequence.